GGCAAAGCUCAAAUUGAAAUCUGGCUCUUUCAGAGUCCGAGUUGUAAUUUGAAGAAAGGUAUCUUUGGGUCUGGCUCUUGUCUAUGUUUCUUGGAACAGAACGUCACAGAGGGUGAGAAUCCCGUGCGAUGAGAUGAUCCAGGCCUAUGUAAAGUUCCUUCGAAGAGUCGAGUUGUUUGGGAAUGCAGCUCUAAGUGGGUGGUAAAUUCCAUCUAAAGCUAAAUAUUGGCGAGAGACCGAUAGCGAACAAGUACAGUGAUGGAAAGAUGAAAAGAACUUUGAAAAGAGAGUGAAAAAGUACGUGAAAUUGUUGAAAGGGAAGGGCUUGAGAUCAGACUUGGUAUUUUGUAUGUUACUUCUUCGGGGGUGGCCUCUACAGUUUAUCGGGCCAGCAUCAGUUUGGGCGGUAGGAGAAUUGCGUUGGAAUGUGGCACGGCUUCGGUUGUGUGUUAUAGCCUUCGUCGAUACUGCCAGCCUAGACUGAGGACUGCGGUUUAUACCUAGGAUGUUGGCAUAAUGAUCUUAAGUCGCCCGUCUUGAAACACGGACCAAGGAGUCUAACGUCUAUGCGAGUGUUUGGGUGUAAAACCCGUACGCGUAAUGAAAGUGAACGUAGGUGGGGGCCCGUAUGGGUGCACCAUCGACCGAUCCUGAUGUCUUCGGAUGGAUUUGAGUAAGAGCAUAGCUGUUGGGACCCGAAAG
rnacentral:rRNA from 1 species